ensembl:lncRNA
GGAAAAGGCAGUGGGAUUCAUCAGAGGGAAGUUAGUCCAUGAAGAUCUGGGAACCAGCUUUCCAGGCAGGAAUAGCUACGGCAAAGAUCCUAAGGAGUCCAAGGUUGAGGUCACAUCUUAUGAUGGCCUUCUUGCUGACAGAAACCUGAGGUGGUGCAGGACAUCGCAUGCCAAGAGACAGGGAGUAUGCACUGCUAAAUUGGACUCUACUUUGUGGACAUACCAUAUUUGCAUCCUCUUUGUUGCCAGUUGAGGGAGUCCUGGUUGGAAGGCAAAGGCAAGCCAAGCCCAAGGAAGCCCUACUGGUUGACCAAAGCUAGUCAAGCCCUUUUUGCCAAGACAUGCUCCUGCGCCCACUGCUCUGCUGGCUGCCUAAAGGAAAGCACAGGUCCAAAAUGAGCCAGGCUCGGUUUCUGUAAGAAGGCAAGACAUAUGCUUCAAACAGUCAUCCUUUCUGCUGAAAAGAAGGAAGUAAUCUGGACAUGCGAAGCACUGAACGCCCUGAGGAAGGCUGCAGCUGGGUCCGUCAUCCGCCCCUUCCUUAGCAAAUAGGUGAUCUCUAUAUUGCUGCUGAGUAACGAAGUUUCCGUAACAUACUACACAAGCAAAAGAACUGGUGAAAGGUCCAUGUAAUGUAAUUGCUGGAUCACAUGGAGAGUGAUCAAACCUUUUCAAAUGUCCUAAGAGAAGGUGCCCAUUGUCAAAUUCCCUGUUACAGUGCAUUAUAGGACAUGAAAUUGUUUUUCCAGACUUCCAUAUUUGACGUCCUCUUCGAAAUGAACUUUUUGUUCCAGAAUUAAUCGUGCCUAUCUUGAGUCCCUGAAUGCUCUAUUCUUCUCUUCCUUCUGCUGUUUCUCCACCUUAACAUAGUGCUCUAGACGAGCUACUUUAUCCUUCUGGUGAACAUUGUAAUCUUUAAGUUUAAAACUCUCAUCAUUAUGAGAGGUGCUAGGUUCUUCAUCAUCACUGCUGACCAGAUCAAUGCAUUCAAGAACAGGUCUUAAUGCUCCUUCACUGACCAACGGGAUGUCGUCUUCGUUCUCCUCUCCGCCGCAGAUGCGGGAGCCUCGGUCCCGAGGGAGAGACGGAGUCCAUGACCUCUGGCCCGGGGUCACCCAUGUUUCUGAUGCCUGAGAGAGACGGCGACCCCUCUGGGCCCCUUCCCGCCUCCACCCCGCCCCACGUGCGCUCUGACGCUGUGAUGCCUCAGGCGGCGGGGACACGCGGACCCGAGGCGGGCCCACAUUUUCUGUCAGUAAUAGCUGGCAGGACCUAGGUGGCCUAGGUACCUUCAAAAGCACAGGAGAGACCCCUCUGCUACUCAGCUCCCUCUGUUACCUUUAGGGGCCAUCUCCAGGAGGUCAGCAGCGAGCUCUGGGGUAGCUUCUUCAUCUCAUCACCACUUUCUGAUAGACCGCUGCAAGUGUAUUCCAGAUAAAAGCUGCAUUUCCCAGGAGCACUGUUCCGUUAUUUAUAUUUCUUCUGAAAAGAAGUAUCUCAAUUUUAUGAAAUAACGUCAUUAAAAUAGUAUCAAAGUAACUUUUGCCUUCAGAGUCUUCCACCAACAUUUUCCACUGUCAUUCUUUUUAACUUAAAAGAGACUGGAAAAAAAAUCAUGUUUUAUUGGAAAAGAAACAGCAAAUACCCACAACUGAAUAUUAGUUUCUGAUAGGUCUGUGUCCUUCUUUCCAUGAAAAAUAGUUUCAUGUUUUUGCUCAGGAUACGGUAGAAAUUUCUCCGUGGCACUUUUUUAUUCUACAGUUCUUAAUACUGAUGCUUGGGUCAUGAUCAUUUAUCAAAUUUUUUUAUGAAUUGGUUAUCCUUGGGGGCCCUUUCCAGGACUCAGCGCAUAGAAUAAAAUAAUUUUGGAGCUCAGAAGAUUGGGAGGAAAAAGCAAGAUAUUUGAAUUACAAAUAUACAACUAUUAGUUUUGAAAUGGCUUUAUACUGUGAAAAAUAAGAUGGCAUAUACAUGUAAUUAGUAUCACUCACUGAAGCAACUUACAAAAAUAUUAACAAUGAAAAUCACUUGCCUCAUAAGAAUAUUACUGAAGACUUUACCCUAAUUUCUUGGCACAUUCUCUCUGCAGUCUCUGGGGCUGCAAUACAGUGAUCAAUAAGCAAAGAAGCUCUUAAUACUGGGAGGAAGAGCAUCCCUAUGACUACAGACAACCACUGUCUCCAGCUUUGCCUGUGGGAUAUUCUGGUAAAGGUCAAGUCCAUAAAAUGGAAACAUGGCUGGUAUGAAAAUAAGCUUCUGAAAAUAAUUUCUGUCAUACUGAAAAAUAAACCAUUAAUUUUCAGUCUUUAGAACUUUCUAAUUAUGUUGGCAACUGUAACUUAAGCUCUCUUUCAGAUACUUUCUGCCCUUAAUAUUUUAUUAGUUUUAUGUCCCCAAGAAAACACAAUUUACCCAGUCUGUCUUAUGAUUAUCUAAUAUUAAACAAUAAGAGUUGCAUCCACUUCAAAUUUCAUGAUUCUUCUAACACAUGUAGAACACAAAGCAGACAGCCACUAUGGUUAUUAGUGCCAUGUUUUCAGUUAUCUAGUUGUUUUGAUAAUUUCUCAAAAAUCCAGUUUUUACCAUCUUUCCCUAUUGUAUGAACUCACUUAAAACUAAGAAAGAAUAUAUUUGACUUACUUUUUUUUGUUAUCAAGAACUAUAGGCUUCCGCCGAGUUUUCUUAAGUUACACUUUGAUUUGUGAGCAAAAGUUUAAAAGGCUAAAAAGGGGGAAAUUGGUUCAAUAUUUCAAGCACAAUGAAACAUUUCUUUUGUCACUUUAUUUCCCUGCUGUAUUAAUUUGUGGUUACUCACCUUCUCCUCAGAGAUCCCCAGGGAACCCCAAAUCUGACUCUCUAUGAUCUGACACAUGAACCCAAACAUUUCUCCCAAUAAAUU